CAGGAUUAGUACUGUCAGUCGAGCGAACUGAUUAGAAGCUUGCUUCUAUGACGUUAGCGGCGGACGGGUGAGUAACACGUGGGCAACCUGCCUGUAAGACUGGGAUAACUUCGGGAAACCGAAGCUAAUACCGGAUAGGAUCUUCUCCUUCAUGGGAGAUGAUUGAAAGAUGGUUUCGGCUAUCACUUACAGAUGGGCCCGCGGUGCUUUAGCUAGUUGGUGAGGUAACGGCUCACCAAGGCAACGAUGCAUAGCCGACCUGAGAGGGUGAUCGGCCACACUGGGACUGAGACACGGCCCAGACUCCUACGGGAGGCAGCAGUAGGGAAUCUUCCGCAAUGGACGAAAGUCUGACGGAACAACGCCGCGUGAGUGAUGAAGGCUUUCGGGUCGUAAAACUCUGUUGUUAAGGAAGAACAAGUACCAAAAUAACUGCUUGGACCUUGGCGGGACCUAACCAGAAAUCCACGGGUAACUAAGUGCCCACAGCCGCGGUAAGUCCUAGGGGGGCAGCGCGUAUCCAGAAAUAUUGGGCGUAGAGUGGGGGC
rnacentral:rRNA from 2 species